GAUGAACGCUGGCGGCGUGCCUAAUACAUGCAAGUCGAGCGAAUAGACGAGGAGCUUGCUCCUCUGACGUUAGCGGCGGACGGGUGAGUAACACGUGGAUAACCUACCUAUAAGACUCGGAUAACUUCGGGAAACCGGAGCUAAUACCGGAUAAUAUAUUGAACCGCAUGGUUCAAUAGUGAAAGACGGUUUUGCUGUCACUUAUAGAUGGAUCCGCGCCGCAUUAGCUAGUUGGUAAGGUAACGGCUUACCAAGGCAACGAUGCGUAGCCGACCUGAGAGGGUGAUCGGCCACACUGGAACUGAGACUCGGUCCAGACUCCUACGGGAGGCAGCAGUAGGGAAUCUUCCGCAAUGGGCGAAAGCCUGACGGAGCAACGCCGCGUGAGUGAUGAAGGUCUUCGGAUCGUAAAACUCUGUUAUUAGGGAAGAACAAAUGUGUAAGUAACUAUGCACGUCUUGACGGUACCUAAUCAGAAAGCCACGGCUAACUACGUG
rnacentral:rRNA from 1 species